CUACGGGUUGCACCAGUGGGGAAUAUUGCGCAAUGGGCGAAAGCCUGACGCAGCAACGCCGUGUGAGGGAUGAAGGCUUUCGGGUCGUAAACCUCUGUCAGAAGGGAAGAACGGGUAUUGGUCUAAUAGGCCUUUAUUUUGACGGUACCUUCAGAGGAAGCACCGGCUAACUCCGUGCCAGCAGCCGCGGUAAUACGGAGGGUGCAAGCGUUAUUCGGAAUUACUGGGCGUAAAGCGCACGUAGGCCGCUUUGUAAGUCAGGGGUGAAAUCCCACGGCUCAACCGUGGAACUGCCUUUGAAACUGGAGAGCUUGAAUCCUGGAGAGGGUGGCGGAAUUCCUGGUGUAGGAGUGAAAUCCGUAGAUAUCAGGAGGAACACCGGUGGCGAAGGCGGCCACCUGGACAGGUAUUGACGCUGAGGUGCGAAAGUGUGGGGAGCAAACAGGAUUAGAUACCCUAGUAGUC
rnacentral:rRNA from 1 species